UUCUUCGCUACUCUAUCCAAUCACCCUCGCUCUCACCAAAUAUGGAAACCAAACAAAUUUCUUACCGCCAAAUCUAAAUCCAAGCUACGCAUGGCUGAAAAUACUACAAAAAUGCCUUCAAUUCCGUCAUUUCAAAAUCUUUAACCCAAAACACAACUGAUUCAAAGAAUUACACGAUAAACAGAUCGGCCGACAAAUAUGGUCUUCAAUAGCAACGCAUGCAAUAUCCUACAGUUUCAGUAUUUUUCUCAAUGCAAGCUAUUUGAAGGGUAGAGGCUUGAAGCAGGUUCGCUGUUAGGCUCAAUGAUUCAAGCUUCAACCCAAUUUUCUUACAUGUAAUCAGGAGACGGCUUAAAGGAUUCAACUCAAUUGUCAACUUAAGUGAAGUUGAAUGUGUCAAAAACUGAAGUCAUUUCACUGUUAAAUGUGGAAUGUGGUUAAAUCGACAAAAAAGAGGGGGGCCAUUUUCAGGCGGAGUAGAUGGCAAAGAAAGAACAAACACGCAGACCUUAAUUCAUAAAAUGACUGGUUAGUAGCCAUUAUUUAUAGAACAGAGUUAAGCUGAAGGGUUCAAAUCAGAUUUGGAGGAUUUAGAAUUCCAAGAAAACUCAACAAUUGCACCGGAAAAUGGAACGCCAAAAUAGAAAAGUUGCAAAGUGUUUUGAAUUCAUCUCUAUUGAUAUGUAUUUCUUUAAUUUGAGUUUCAAUUUUGAUAUGUAUUCGCAAUAGUGUAUGUAUAAAAUCAUUUAAUGCAAACGGUGGCCUGCAACUUGGAACAACUGCCCACAAAUUUGGGAAACCUAAAAGGUGGUUGAGCAUGACUUAAGUAUUUAAGAUUAAUACAAAUACAAU